rnacentral:lncRNA from 1 species
CCCCAGCGAAAUCUAAAAUACAAAAUGUAAAGCCAUGCAUCAAUACUUAAAUGCAGCAUUGGUUUCGAACUAACACUCCUAAAAUAUUUAUUAAAUAGUCCUAGAUAACAUUCUCACCAACUGAUGAUUCAAAAUCUAGAUGGAAUAUUUUUCUAUAUUUUUUAUUUUUUUUAAAAUAUUAUAUUCAUCCAAUAACCUUUUAUACCUAUCAACCAAUAAAUUAUAUUCCCAACGUAAUUAUCUAUGCUCAUACUUGAGCUAUUCAUAAGCAUCAUUAAUUCUUUGAUAUAUAUACCUAUAAUAUUUUUGAUCUUCAAAGUUGAAAUCUUCAAACUCAUUUUAAUCUCUAUUAUAAUCUAUUUAUUACAAAUCCAGUAGUAGAUUCCUUCAAUUUAUUUUGAUCAUGCAUCGAAUGAUUUCAAGUUUGAAGAAUUUCAGGCGAUUUAUUAUCAUGUUCAAGCAUAAUUUUGAUAUGUGCCCUCAGCAUCUCAUCAUUUCGGACAUCUAAUCCAUAAACUAGCUUGUAAAUUUCUAAUCUCUUGGUUAUCUUCUCGAGCAUGACUUUUGAUGAAAUUUUGAUUGUAAAUAUUUCUGCAACUAUAAGCGGC